rnacentral:rRNA from 1 species
UGUUCCUUGGAACAGGACGUCACAGAGGGUGAGAAUCCCGUGAGAUGGGGGCCGCACUGCUUGUAGGGCCAGUUCGACGAGUCGAGUUGUUUGGGAAUGCAGCUCUAAGUGGGUGGUAAAUUCCAUCUAAAGCUAAAUAUUGGCGAGAGACCGAUAGCGAACAAGUACAGUGAUGGAAAGAUGAAAAGAACUUUGAAAAGAGAGUGAAAAAGUACGUGAAAUUGUUGAAAGGGAAGGGCAUUUGAUCAGACUUGGUGGGGGAGUACUGGCAGUCACUUGUUGUCUGUUUACUGCUCUUCUGCUGGGCCAGCAUCGAU